rnacentral:rRNA from 1 species
AUUGAACGUUGGCGGCAGGCCUAACACAUGCAAGUCGAACGGUAACAGGAAGAAGCUUGCUUCUUUGCUGACGAGUGGCGGACGGGGGAGUAAUGUCUGGGAAACUGCCUGAUGGAGGGGGAUAACUACUGGAAACGGUAGCUAAUACCGCAUAACGUCGCAAGACCAAAGAGGGGGACCUUCGGGCCUCUUGCCAUCGGAUGUGCCCAGAUGGGAUUAGCUAGUAGGUGGGGUAACGGCUCACCUAGGCGACGAUCCCUAGCUGGUCUGAGAGGAUGACCAGCCACACUGGAACUGAGACACGGUCCAGACUCCUACGGGAGGCAGCAGUGGGGAAUAUUGCACAAUGGGCGCAAGCCUGAUGCAGCCAUGCCGCGUGUAUGAAGAAGGCCUUCGGGUUGUAAAGUACUUUCAGCGGGGAGGAAGGGAGUAAAGUUAAUACCUUUGCUCAUUGACGUUACCCGCAGAAGAAGCACCGGCUAACUCCGUG